UUUCUCCCUUGAAAGCAAUCUUCUGUAUUAUUUUCCCGUAGUUUUUCAACAGACACACAAGUCACAACAAAGAUGUUAGUUAAUUUUUCAGUGAGUACAUUGGACAGCAUUCAAAAGAAAAUAAAAAGAAGAACACAGAAACAGGCAAAAGAAAAAAAAAAAAAAAGAAGAUAAACACCUGAAAUCAUGAUAUUGGAUGAAUUUUAAUUUAUCAAGAUGCUGAAGUAUAAAUGAAUAUGAAGGUUAUAGGAAGUAAACCUGAAAAAGUUCUGAGGUGUCUUACCAAAGAUAAACAAAAAAAGAAUUGAAGGAGGCAGAGUACAAAUUUCUUCCUGAAACUGGAUACUCAAAGGCAAAGGGAAGAAGUCGACUACUUUCAUAUCCUUACAUGAAAAUGUUGUUGAAAACGAAGUGGAUAAGUACACAAAAAGCCACCAUGAGGAGGGACUCAGAUCAGCUUUAUAUUUGAAAGGGACAAGAACAAUUAGAAAUGUCAGAUAUAGCGACUGAAACUUUAUAUUAUUUUACAUGUUACAUCUAUUAUACUGUAUCAAUCUUGGAAAAUAUUUGUGAUUUUAUAAAGAAUAAUUGCAAUGAAUAAAAUUUCAUACAUUUUUUUU